AGACAUAUCGUAUAACGGUAGUACCCAUCAUUACGAAUGAUGUAAUAGGUGUUCGAUUCUCCUUAUGUCUA
rnacentral:tRNA from 1 species